UUUUGGGGAGCCUGAGGGGAUUUGGGGAGGUCAUGAAGGGAUCUGGGGGGAUUCUGAGGAGAUUUUCGGGGGUCCUGAGGGGGAUUGGGGUGUCGUGAGGGGAUUUAGGGGCGUUCUGAGGGAGUUUUGGGGGUUCCUGGAGGAUUUUGGGGGUCCUGAGGGGGUUCAGGAGGAUUUUGAGGGUGCCCGACUGGACUGGGGCAUCCCGAGGGAAUUUUGGGGGUCCCUGUGUGGAUUUUGUGCCUCCCUAACUGAAUUUGGGACAAUUUUGGGAGAAUUUGGGGUCAUUUUGGGGUCCUUGAACGGAUUUUGGAGCAUUUGGGGGAUUUUUGGGAUCCCUGACUGGAUUUUGGGGUAUUUUGGUGUAAUUUUGGGGUAUAUUGGUGCAAUUUCAGGAUCCCUGAUGGGAUUUUGGGAUAUUUUAGUGUAUUUUGGAUAAUUUUGGGGUCCCUGAUGGGAUUUUGGGGUAUUCUGGGGUAAUUUCAGGGUCCUUGAUGGGAUUUCAGGGUAUUUUGGUGCAAUUUUGGGGGUGAUUUUGGGUAAUUUCAGGGUGUGUUAUGGUAAUUGGAUGUAAUUUUGGGGUAUUUUGGUGUAUCUGGGUUUGAACAGACAGGUGUGUGCUGAGGAAGGCAGGAGACCCCUGAAAUGGAAAAUGUGAACCCUCUCCCUCUGAAUUGUUAUAAAUUUGAAAAUAAAAGGCUCUCAGGCAAAGAUAUGGGAGGAGGAAUAACAGUUCUUAAUUUGGGUAUGAAAAUAAAAGUAAAAUAAAAUAAAAUAAUUAAAAGAAAUAUAGAAAUCAAAAUAAGAAUAAAAAUACUAAUGAAAAUAAAAAUAAAGUCAGAAAUAAAAUCAAGAUAAAAAUAAAAUUAAUAAAAAUAAAAUACAAUAUAAAAUAAAAAAUUUAAAAUAUAGAAAUAAAAACUAUAAAAAAGUAAAACAAAGUAAUAAACAAUAAAAAUAAAAAUUAGAUACAAAUAAAAUUAAACAUUGAAAAACUAAAAUAAUAAAUAAAGAUAGAAAUAAAAAUAGAAAUAAGAUAAAAAAGAAUAAAAAUAAAAUAAAAAAUAAUAAAAAAUAAAAAAGAAAUAAAAUCAAUAUAAAACCAAAAAUAACAUAAAGAUAAGAAUACAAAUAAUAAAAAUUAACUCAAAAAUAAAAAUAAAAUAAAGUAAAAAACCAGAAUAAGAAGAAAGCUGCUCCUCUGGGAAUGCAGUGGGCAAAGGCUGCUGUGCUGUUCCAAACCUCAGAUUACAUCCAGGUAGGAAUGCUUGGCUCCUCCCCAUGGGCGGAGCAUCUCCCAAUGGGAUGGUGUCAUCUCAUCAGCCAUGCAGUGAUGCUUAGUGGCCCAUGAACAGCAGAUAAUUAAUAAUUAACAGCCCAUGAACAGCAGAUAAUUAAUAAUUAAUGGCCCAGUCUAGGUGCCAAUAUAAAAUGUAUUCUCUCCCCAUCCCCAAGAGCUGUUCACACCAGGAGAGGCAUUGUUUAAUUGUGUUCCUGAUCUCCUGUUCCUGAACCCAUCAAUUCCAUGCACUGAGCAGCAGCUCCCGUUUAAAAUCUCACCAAUUGCUCCCAGCUUCCCCAAACUUCCAAUCCAACACCGAAAAAGACAUUACUGUUAAAUCUUUCUAGGUCACACAGAGAUUGUAGUUUCCUGUUUGGCAGCUGAGAACAACUAAUCCUCCACUCUUAGUAGGUAAACACAAUAUUGAUUUUCACAGAAAAUCAGAGCAGGGGAGCAAGUGAAGCAGGGAGGAAAGGAAAAAAAUAAUUAUCAAACCAGUGGCGAUAUUUUCUGAAAUAAAACUAAAAUCAUUCAGCUCUUCUACUCACUAAUUUUUCAGAGACAGUUGCAAAGGAAGCUCGCUAUCUUCGUGAGGCUUAAUUAAUUGAAAUCUGACUCAGAGAGAACUCCCUCCAGGAGCCAUUUCUGUCUGCUGGGCAAUCAAGGACCAAUCAUGACUCAGAACGACAUCAGCCCAUUGUGAGAGGCUCCGCCCAAGGGAGGAGCUCAGCAUCCCCACCUGGAUAUAAUCUGGGCUUUGGGACAGAACAGGCAGCCCUUACCCAUGGGUUUCCAGAGGACAAGAGCUGCCAGAUCUUUUCUAGGGGAUCACCACUUCAGCAAGACCAUUUCAUCUGGACUGCUACCACCGCCCUACCUACCAGGGUGUCAGAACAUAAUUUUGGCGCCCAACGUGAGGCAGCAAGGUUUUUGCUCAAGGACCUGGUUACACUGGUGGGCAAUGCAGGAGGACGGGGAAACCCCUCGUGUACCACAAGGAGACCUAAAUUAAAGUGAAAACUGUGUGUAAA